GGCCAAUUAGAGCCUCCGAAGGGAACCUGUCCCGGCCUCCUCUCUGAGGGACGGCUCUACCUACCAAUAGCAUGAUCGAGAAGGCGUUCCCUUCGCGAAGGAGGCGGGUGAGCUAGAACUUUGAGACUGAGGUAAAGCGGACCUGCCCUUCCUGUGGCCCAGAGCCUGGGGGUGAAGAAAAGAAGGGAAGAGGGAACCCUAUUUCUGUUCAGUUGUUCCCCCCAGAGCUGACACGAAGGGCCUGUAUUUCCAGGCAUUCGGAGGCCGCCGCCGAUGUCUCAGCAAGAGUGUGGCACCCCUGCUAGCCCAUGGCUACCGCCGCUUCUUGCCCAC
rnacentral:lncRNA from 1 species